UUCUAUUCAUUUUUCUUAUCUCAGUAGCCGUAUGAUUUGGGGGUUUUCAGUUGCAAUUGCAGUUAUUUCUUGAAUGAGUAAUGAAACCUCAUGGACAAUCUACCUUCAAAUUUAUUCCCUUUUUCAAAGGGUGUUGACAUUCUAGAAAGACCAUUCAUUGGCAGACAUUUCCUCACAUAACUUGAAGAAUAUGAUUCAGUAAAUCUUGUUAAAUAAGUUUCAAAAUAUAUUUCAGACAAAUAGUACCUCUGUUAUUAGACAUUUUGCUUUUGGCUACAGAUUAGUCCGAGUUGUAGUAAGGAGCUCUUUUAUUCAACUAAAAAUUUCCAAAUAUAAUUUAUUACUUGUAUGAUGUUUAACUUGCUUAAACUGACCCAUAAGUUAAUACAACAUCGAAGAGCACAUGCACUUUAUUUUGUUGUUAUUUAGUCGGGGAAUUUGCUAAGACUGUCUCUCGCUUCUACACUGGGGUAUCUGAAGAAACUACAUGGUAUUUAAUGAAUGCAUCUCUUUUACUUGUUAUGGUCUGAUAUAUUUUUUCUUAUCUACCUCAUGCUUUUGUUUUCCACUUUUGUCAGCAAAAAGAAAACUUCCUCCUCUAAUAUGUCUUGCAUCCUAUAAUUAUGGCGGAUAUGCAAUUUUUUAAGUAAAAAUUAUGGCGGAUAUGCACGUUUAUAAUGGUACUUGAAAUCCUGAAGUACUUACUGAAUAGCAUUACAUCCUGUAGUAAUCUUUUGUUUCUAUAUUUCUAUAGGUUGCUAAUGUUGAAUACGUAUGAAAUUGAUUGAGUGUAUUAUGUUCUCUUUUCUAUCAUAAUUUGGCUUUGCAAGAGUUUUUAGAAGUUUACUUUGAAAAGGUUUAAAAUUUUGGCUCAUUUUUAAAAGGUGGUAAUGCAACGGAACGGAGUGGAAGGCCAGAAGAUGUCCUCUUUGCUCCGUUCUAUGGCUCUUGGGAUAAAUUAAUUCUUUUGCAAAUACUCAACUUCAACGAUGUGAUACUGUUGGAAGGCGAAUCCUUAUAUACCGCGCAUGUGGAUGAUAUUAUAAUACCUCUUUCAUCCAUCCUCUCAUUUCUUUAACUAAGCUUUUAAAAGAUGUUAGUAAUCACUUUCCGACUGCUAUAUAUUUGCAUAAUAGAGGUUAAGCAAAUAUUUGAAUAACAACACAUUGAUCGUUUUGCUAGAGAAUGGAACAUAGAGUAAAAAGCCAUUUGUAACUAUCUUGAGUCAAAUUUGAUCAAGUAAACUCCAGUCCCGUAGGUUCAUCGCGUAGCUGAAGACUACAUUUCACUCCCUAUAUCUCUUUUAGGAGUGGUGGAAACUCCCUUGAAGCUCUCAAAAGAUAACGUGGAGCUGCAAUUUUCUGCCUCGUUGCAUUCUGCAUAAGCUUUUUCCAAAAACCACUACCAAAACAUCUUGUAGCAUCGUUCUUCAAAUUUCUUACAUGUUGGUGGAAAUUUUUUGGCCUGCAGUUCCCCUUGAUGCAUAUUCAAUUGAAAUCAAGAAAAUUCGUGGAAAAGCCAGAAAAAGGGUCUUGAGAAUGGAAGUAAUCUAUGGAAAAAAAGAUGAUACAAGAGCCCAGUUGGUAAAAGAAGAUCGCCUAAGGAAAUUCCAUCAGCAAAGCACUAUCAAAUGAGUGGGGAAUAAUCGCUCGAAAUUUUGUUUUUCUUCAAACAAGUGGAAUGAACUCACAAGAGAGGAGAAAGAACAAUGAUUAGAUAUUGUAUUUUUCAAGACAGUCUCAUUUUUGUCAUAGGAGAUAUUAGUUCGUCAUAAAUUGACUACAUUUGUGACAAAACAUAGUCUUUGUUCCUGACUUGCCUUCUGAUCAAUAAUAUAAUUCACUUU